CUUGUUUCUUUGGUAGCAGUCCAUUCCUCCUCACUCUCCCUGGCACCUGGAGAAAGAGGAGGAGCCUGGCCCACUGCAGUGUUUCUGGGCAGGAGGCAGCUGCAGGUGCCCACUUAUUGGGGCGGUGCCACAGCAGAUAUAAAGAUGCAGCUCCCAUAGCAGCCCUUUUCUCUAAGUUCCCUCCUGAGGGCCAGCAGGGUGGGUGCUGCAACAGGGGCUUUUUGGAAGCCCUGUGAUAUGGCACAGAGAGCCCUGGAGCAUGCAGGAUUUCUGCUAAGCUCCCUUCCAUUAUUCCUGGUGCGAAGCUGCCCUAAAAGUGACCUUAGUUGAAAAGCAGGGAUACAGGUACUUGCCCACUGAUGGAAAGCAUGCUGAGACCUGCAACGACUGGUGUGGAAAUGCAACUGACAGGAUAGAGAUCUUGAAGCACUUCAAAGAGCUACCAGCUUCAGUCUCAGUGACUAACUUGACCCAGGUGAGAAUGCUCAAACUGCAAUUGUAGAGCCUCUUUAAGGUCUUAAAGGCUUAUUGCCCAGGGAGCCAUGGCAAGUGGAGUCAUCUCUCAGCUGACUGUCUCUCACCUGCUUGGUGCUGGGAAGAGGAGUGCCCUCUUACCUGGGAGGACAUGAACGUGCUGGUGCCCAUCCAUGUGAGGAGGUAGGUGGCCUGUCAGCUCAUGGAACAGCUCCACCUGGGCCUUUAGCUCCUGCUUCACCUGUACAGUAGAAAGGGGUUAAAGAAAGACCUGUCAGUAGGCUGAGGUCAGAAGAGCGCAUAGUGCCUCCUGGAGAUUUUGCUGUCCCUUUCCCUUUAAAAUGAAAGGCAGCUUUAAUCCUGUAGGCAGUUUUGAUCACCUGAACACAUUUACCUUUGUUCAAGGGGCAAAACCAGCCACUUCCCUAGAGAACAAAAGCCUCUGACAAGGUGAUGCAAAGCCUACUUAGCACUUCUCUGACACUUUCCUUUUAUUGAUUUCUAGGUUCUUAGUCAGUUUCUGUUCCAAUGUCUCUUCUGCCCUAUCAGAUAAGCAGCUAACAGCACAUUAGCAUGUGUGUCACUGAAGCAGGGAGGAAUGGGUUCUCAGAGGCUGUGGUGAAAUUAGGUGUAGGACACAGGCAGUUCCAGAUGCCAAAACACAACCUAGAUUCAUCUGUAGGUGUACUCCCAGCUGGGACCUGGCAACGACCUUCAACUGUUACAUUCUGGGAUAAGUGCAGGCUAAGUUUUAUCAGUUGCAUGGUUGUAGGUGGCUUUCUCCUACCUCUGACAUGUUCAGGAGACCUUUUGAUAGGGCUGUUCUGAAUCCCAUCUUCCCGUGGAAAAAUCCAUCUUCAUUGAGCAGAGAAGAGUUUGUCUUGAGCACCUCACAUACAGGGGAGCCCUCGGAGAGGUUGGCAUGCAGUCCUAUCGGGAUGUUGUAUCUGUAACAGGAUUGAAAUAUCUGUUAAGCUUUGCACCUCUACCUUCCUUACUGGGUCCAAAGGGUGAGAUUUCAGACAAAGAGCUACUCUGAUCUAAACAGUGUGCUCACACGAGUACAUCUUUGGACCUCUGCUCUUCUAGAAAAGAAAACAGAACACUAGACCAGAGCAGGAUAUCACCAGGUAACAAUCCUGUCCAGUUCUGAGACUCCCCCAGUUCUGUUCUCAUCCUACUUUGAGUGGAGAGCAGCCACAAGGCACUUCAGGCUAAAUUUUGUAACUGCACUAAAAGCUCUAACUGUAUGGUGCUGAACUCAUCAGUGACUGACAGAAAUCUGGACCUUGCAACUCUGUUCUAAAGCACUUCAUUAGCCCAGGUACUCCCUUGAGUUCACACUCCUGAAGAUGCUGCAUUUCUGAGACAUUGGAGUUUUAUUUGACAACCUCUAAAGCUGCCUUUAAGCAGAACCCCGCUAUGUAUCAGCAGUGCCAAAGGCAGCGGUUAUGGCAACAGCACAGGCUGCAAGUGUAAAUACUGCCUGAGUUCAGGGGUAACCUGGUCUGAGAGGCAGCAGCUGGAAUUGCCUGCAGUGGCUAGGUUUCCGUCUAACCGUGCAGAUGACGGAGCUGGGCUGUACCAAGUGGCAUCUCCAGCACAGAGGCAGAGUUACACAGGAGGUUGGUGGUGUAAGUGUAGGGCCUUGUUAAGGAGAUGAAAGGGUCCAAGUUGUUAGUGAGCUGCACUCUGCAAAUUAAAACAAAAACUACCAGUGUAUCUGCAGAGCUCCUGUCAGCCACCAGGCUUUGCACAGUGCUGGUGUUUCCUUCUGUGUGCUGUGGCUUCCCCUAAACUGAAAACAGGACCUGGGAGCGCUCAGUCUUGUGCGAGUCUCGCUGCUGCUCCCAAAAUCCUCUCAGGGUGACCAAAAUGAUGCCUUGAGACUUCUCCCAAGACCCCCUCUAGCUGGAGUGCAGUGCCCCUUCUGUGCUGUCCAGCCUGCGUCACGGUGCCAAGCGAACUUCAAGGCAACAAGUCUAUGGUUUAAAUCCUUCCUGGAACUUCUGCACAGAGCUGCUAAAACAGGGCCUGGUCCCCGUUGCAAUGCUUGUACUACAAGGAGGAGAGCAAAAGCAACAUCCAUUUAGGAAAACUCAAGUUCUCUGGCCAACCAACUUCCCUUCUAUCCCUGCUGUCUUGAGAGAGAGGGUGGUUCCAGAUGAAGCUGAAACAGCUGCAUUUCAGAGAAUGCUCAUGUUUGGACAAGAAGUUUUAAUGAGAAAAUUUCUUAUCCAGUCUAGGAGCUAAUUUUCCCUUGUGUUGGUGUAAGUGUUGAUUUAAGUUUUUCCACACACAAAGAGGCAUUCAUGGAAGAGGGACCUUUCUGGUUCAGGGUUUUAAGACUCAUCAGACUGUGGCAGACUGCAUCAAGCCCGUGGCUUAAAGGAUAUCUGCAAAACAGAACAGUUCCAACAGGAGAUGUGGAUCAUCACAAACUCCUUCCCAAGAUACAAAUGACAAGCAAGGCAGGAGAGUUAACACCCAGCUUACAAAUAACUGACCUUCCCCCAGAGCUAUUCCAAGUUAGAUAUCUCUUUCAUCUCUAUAUGGAAAUGCCUGUUAAAGUUUUAUGGGAUCAGAAAACUGUCCUGUCCAGCUCUAGCUCCAAGUUCUGUUACCAUAAAUUGGUUCCUGUUUAGACAUGUUCUCAGGAUCCUCUGAGGACCUCUGCAAUAAUUCCAAAUGCCUACGGGAGGACAGAUCUCUGGUGGCAGUGGUUACUUCCAGUCCUGUUUUUGGAACAGAUUUCUCUGGAGGGGUAAUGGAAACAGGAUGGCUGAAGGGUGCUAAAUUUUGGAGUGAUUUCAUUGAAACACUCCAUGGUGUUCUGGUUGCAAAAGGAGAAUGUGAAAACCUACAGAGGUGCCCCAGGAUGGAUGGACUGCCGUGAACUUUGUCCAAGACAAGGCAAAGGGCUGGUGGAAAACCAGAUCUCCCCUUCUGUCUGCUGCCCUGAGGCUGGUUAGUGAAGUACCAAGUUACAGGGGGCAGAGGGACUGUGGAGGGAUUAGACUGGAUCAGAACCAUUUAGCUCCUCCAGGUUUUAAGGUUUUAGUCCUUGAAGGACUGAAAUUUUCUUCCUGGCUCCUCCAUGUCUUGUGCUCCAGGUGGAUGGUGUAGUCUGUUGCUAGGUACUCCUCCUCCUGGCAGAUGGAAGUGUUAAGCUGUAUGGAGAGCUCUGUGAAACAAAACGAGUCCAUGUCUCUGCAGUUUGAAUGUCUGCUUCAUGGAGCAAAACAGCUUGUGGAGGAAAAGGUCCUCAAACUCCUCUGAUCUGGUGAUUUCUUUGCAGCAGGACCUGGUUGUAUAACUGACCAUCUGAUUUUCACACCAGGGGCCUGAGCGCAUGGAAGGAGUUAGCGUGGUCGUGUCCAAGUUAUCACUGGAAGAUGCUGUCACUGGGAGCGGGGGCCCUGAGGCGUUCUGCUGAGAAGCUCACAGGCGGCUGGUGGCAGGGCAGGAGGCAGCUAUGGUGCAGAAGAGGAGCUGUGGCAGAGGGCAUCCCUUCCCUCCUGUCACCUGAUGCGUACCUUGCGUGAGCCCAAAGGCAGAGGGGCAGCUUGUUCUUCUGGAAAGCCACUGCAGAUUGGUUACCGUGUCUCUGGGAAGCUCUGACUACGUCAGCUGAUAGCACUACUUGCAUCACAGCCACUGCUGUCUACAAGAAAAGGAUUCAUGUGUUACCAUGAAUCAGCAGAUGGAUGACUUCUCCUGUGCAGCACUUGCCUUCUCAUGUGUUGCAGGAGGGCCAGAAAUGAACAGCUGGGCUUCCCAGGGGCAUCGAAUGAACUGCCUCCAAUUGUGCGAUGCCUCAAAUGCUGUGAGUGAAGCGAUCCCCAGGAAAAGGCAAGCCCCUCUGACAGGUGUGGGACACCGAGGAGCCAAGCACUGCACUGCAGAACACUGGAGCCGCUCCUCUGCCUGAGCUGAAGCCAGCCCCGGAGCUGGGGAAUGUGCAGAAUGUGGAAGUGCAGAGAGCUGGCCUUGUUCUCGCUGUAAGGAGAGCCUCUCUCCGUAACUUUAGAGCGUGUUUCAGAGCUUGGGCUAACACCAGCUGAGUAUCUUAAUAGUUUUCUCCUGGAGUUAGUCCUGGCUGGUCUGACAGACUGUCCACACUGAGGCGUCUAAAUAGGAACUGUUAGCAUUUAAUAGCUCUGGGAUAAAGGCACUGAAACCAAAACUCGAAACACAGCACACAAUAAACUUCUUUGGGGGUAUUCAUCUGUGGGAGAUGCAUAGAAGCAAGCACGCCAGCUCUAAGGACAUGUGAAGGUGGACACUGCAGUGGGCUCAGCAGCAUUCUGCUGCUAGCUAGCAUUUUCCUGUACCUAAAGCAGUUCAAGUCCUCUAAAUGAAAUGAGCCAGGUGCUGCUCCUAAUCAGCACCAAAUGCCCUGCAGCUGAGUGUUUGUUCCUAACAAACAGACACUGCACAAGUAUCUGAAGCCCAAAGUGAAAGGAUGAAAAUGUGAGCAAAACUUCAAGCAUUAUGGUAACCGCUGGGCUGUGCCCCAGGAAAUUGGGCUCCAGUAAUGCUCUGUCCUGACUGGAGGCUUCGCCUUUAAGACUGAUUCCAUGAGCUUUUCUCUACUCCUGUGAGCACUGGACGAACUCUCUCAGCUGCCUCUCACCAGUGAAAUGUAGCUGCUGCAACCAAAGAGCAAUGCCAAGGCACAUGGCACUGAAAGAAAGCCAUGGUGCAAAGUGAAGUUAGAGGAACGCCCUGGAAGGACCCUUUUUUAGCAGCGGGCAGGUAACUGCUUCCUCUACACCAACGUGCUUGAUAGUUGCUGAGAUCUUUCCAAAGGCACUAACUGAGAUAUUGAAGCUGACAGAAUAUUGGAGCAGAUACCAAGAGCCCAAGCUGCUUGGCAUGUGAUGCCAUACUGGGACCAGAGCUCAGCUGUUGUGGGUUUGCCCUUAGAUUUCCCCAUGGAUGGGACAGGAUGAGCCCUGCUGGUCCUUACCAGCCAAAUCUAACUGCUCGACCCAAAGUCUGAUUCAAAACGAUUGGCACCAAGGUUUGAGCAUGGGUCUCUGCAAUAAAAGAGCUGCAGUUAACAGCUACUACUGCCAACACAACAUGGUGCUGAGGCUUGGUCUCUUAACUCCUGUUGCUGGUUCUUUAAGGCAGCACUGACCCUUCCACUACCUCUUUGGAGGGGUGCAUGUCUAGGUGUUUGCACUCCCACUGCCCUGGAGAAUACACGGAUGUGAAGUGAAUUUAACACAAGGGUUUAAUUCCAUCCUGAUGAACCCAAAGGGCAAUGCCUACAAAUGCAUGUUCCUGCUUCUACAUCAGGAGUGUUGGGCUGGGGUCUGUGACCUUGCUGAGAGGAGUUUAAGGAGUUUGAGUAGCUUCUGCAGCCACUAAGGCUAGUCCAUUAGUGAGCUGCUUCCACUGAGAGCAAUUUGGCUGUUGAAGCGAGCCCAGCUCUGCAGCUCACUGCUCUGCAUCCCCUGUAGAGGGGGGGAAGAAAGGAGAUACCCUUGCAACAAAUGCUCCAAGAGGCAACAAGGAAUUAAGUCUGGAAAGCUUUCUCAGCCAACACGCCCAGCCCAGCUAUCAAAUAGAGGAAAUACAAUCGGCUAAACUGCUUCCUUUUCAAGUAGUUGCUUGUUUUGCCACACGAGUGCUCUGAACAAAUGGCCCAGCUGAGGCAAUGGGCUUUUGUGCAGUUGCAAUCCCUGCUCGUUCAUAUCCUUAGCAGUAAAGGGUCCCCAGGGACCGUGUCACUGUACUGAGGCACUCCUUAUAAUGCCGCCAGCAUUGCUGCACGUUUCUGAGCUUGGUGGAUGACUACAGUGCCCUGCCUGGCCACAGAGAGGACUCUGUGCAGUCCCUGCGAGCAGCUGCAAUAGCUGUGGAAAUUGUGUGAUUUCCCCAGGCCUAGACCUUGCCAAUUGUUUCACUCAAGGCUGCAUGCUCUGGGAUAAGCGUGGCACUUACUCGUUUCCUUGCUGGGUAAAUAGAUCCUACCUUCAACAUCCUGGUUGUAUCCUUAUCUGGGAAGCUACUGGCUCAUCAGGUUUCAGCCCAUGUGAUGCAAUUAAGAGCCCCAUGUAAAUAUCUUUAUGCAGACAUCCUGCUUCAGUAAAUGUCCAGUCAAAGCAAGGCUGUGCUCUACACAAAGAAGGGCACAUCUCAGUUUCUUCAGGUGGACGUUUGCACACUUUUUUCCCCCACUUUCACUCUAUAGCAAAAUGUGUUUAUCUAACUGUAUCUUGUCUUGCUCCAUUACUGCUAAGGAUUUAUUCUUGGUGGGAGGAACACUCCAAAGCCUCUGUUGUAUUAAGAACCAAUACUAUAACAGUGUUUGGAACUGACUUUCUUUUCAGUUACAUCUUUAUUGGCUUUAGGUUUAACAUCCAUAACCUUACAUCAGCAAAAGUGCUGUUUCCAGUGGAGUUAAUUUGAUCUAGGUCUCUAGUUUAAUGUCUCAGCAUGCUAACCCUAACCCAAACACAGUUGGGCUGUCUGCCGUGUGAUUAACAGUCAGAUAAAAGGAUGAUGAGAAAGCAUGAGAGACUUCUAGAUUAGUCAGAUGUCAACUGGGAGGGUCAGAAUUAAGUCACAAUUUACACACACAUUUUGCAAUUAGUGUUGAUGGGAAAGGAAGUGAAAACAUAGACAGCAAUUAAAUGUGGUUUUGUUAGAUUCUUCUGUUAAAUGUACCCAGAUGUGGGGGCUUCAGCUUUUGUGUAGUUGAUGUUCAGCAUUUAACAGAAAGGAAAAAAGAAGACGACUGAGGUUGUGUUCUAAAAUAUGCCACUCUUUAUCAAGUGUUUGGAUAUAAUCAUCUAGAAAAUGGGCCUAAAAGUCACAAUUGAGCUGAGUGAUAAAAAGGGGGGGAAGUAAGGCAGCAAACACUCAUAGGUCUCUGUAUUUCUGCUAUCUCCAUAUUUGUUUCUAAAGAAAAAUGAAGAGACCUGUUCAGUUAACAAAAUAAUUCUUCUGAUCUCUGGAAAAGGCUCUAGAAGCACCAAGAUGACUGCCAGAAUCCAAGGUGGGGCUUGAUAAAAUACACAAUUAAGAUUACCUUUUUGGAUAACCAGGAUAUCACGUUGCCUUAUGCCUCAUAAAGAGAAAACUUUUGAGUUACUGGAAAAAAAACAAUAGAAAUCUGUUCUCCCUUCUGCUGCUCUGGUUACACACUGCUCUAGCAAUUGCUGUCAAUAGGUUUGUCAUCUGAGGAUGAAUCAGGCCUCUGCUGAAACUACUCUCUUGCCUGAAGUGAGUGGGCCCUUUCUUUUAGCCCGGUUGUGAAAGUGAGUGUGAAAAAACCCAAAUCCAGAGCCUGAAUGUGAUGGAAGGUAUAUUAUUUACUGCUUGGUUCUGCUGCUUUGCAAUUAGUUUGUGUUAGAGCUGGUACAAACAGCUGCUGACUACAGUUACAUUUCUGCCAGCUCUUCUAAUGAAAGCACAGGACAACAGAUGGCAUACCCAGAAGCCUACAGAGUUAUUGUGAAAAUGAAGGGAAGAAUGAAAUUCCAGAACUGUGUUUUUGAAGGAUGGUGAGUCCUAACAUUGCAGGACAGCAUAAGGUGCUUACAAAAGACUAUCCUGCAAGAAACGCCUUUUUGUUACUAAUUAGCUUUGCAUGCAUGCAAUUAACUGCAGACCAGGUGAGGAGAGCUUACGACCUUCAGUGACAAGCAACCAGGACGUAGUUAACCAAGAAGCACACAGAUGAUCUCCACAAGUCACAAACACCAGCAGUCUGACAAUCUUGGCACUGAGUGCAGAAGUUCAAAUCCCACAGCACUGGGAUGAACCCCAGGAAAGCAGAAGCUGCUUGCUGCAAGCCUUUUUUUCAACUGGUGACAGAUCCAGCCUCCCAACUUACACCACUGUGUAGUUGCAGGCUGAAAGCACUGCUGGGGAGUUGAUCAUGCGUGUGUAUAUGUGUGUGUGUGUGCUUGGUACUUGCUUAGCAGGGUGUCUGUAGCGGAAGGCAAACAUGGGAUAGGAAAACAGGGCAGAUUUUCAUCCCCUAAAACAUAAAAUGCUGCAAAGUAUCAUCAUUCACAGUGGGACAGGAGACAACAUCAAGCAGGGGGAAGUGGCAAUACAGUGGCAAGGCAGCAAAGCAACAGUGAUACUUUCCCACUCCUGUUUGCCUUUCAUCAUGACACCACACAGUGAGGAUUCAAUGAUGUUUUUAGUAAGUCCAACCUAUUAGACAUCUGUGUCCACAAAACUUUGUGCAAAUCUCUGCAUGAUGGGAACAUAUGAGGGAUGACAA